GACGAACGCUGGCGGCGUGCUUAACACAUGCAAGUCGAACGGAAAGGCCCCCACCUUGGUGGGGGUGCUCGAGUGGCGAACGGGUGAGUAACACGUGGGUGAUCUGCCCUGCACUUCGGGAUAAGCUUGGGAAACUGGGUCUAAUACCGGAUAGGACCAUGGUUUAGUGUCUCAUGGUGGAAAAAUUAUUGUUUUGGUGCAGGAUGAGCUCGCGGCCUAUCAGCUUGUUGGUGGGGUAAUGGCCUACCAAGGCGUCGACGGGUAGCCGGCCUGAGAGGGUGGACGGCCACAUUGGGACUGAGAUACGGCCCAGACUCCUACGGGAGGCAGCAGCGGGGAAUAUUGCACAAUGGGCGCAAGCCUGAUGCAGCGACGCCGCGUGGGGGAUGACGGCCUUCGGGUUGUAAACUCCUUUCGUUAGGGACGA
rnacentral:rRNA from 1 species